UACGAAGGGAGCUAGCGUUGUUCGGAAUCACUGGGCGUAAAGCGCACGUAGGCGGAUGUGUCAGUCAGGGGUGAAAUCCCGGAGCUCAACUUCGGAACUGCCUUUGAUACAGCACGUCUUGAGUCCGAUAGAGGUGGUGGAAUUCCUAGUGUAGAGGUGAAAUUCGUAGAUAUUAGGAAGAACACCGAGCGGAGGAGGCC
rnacentral:rRNA from 1 species